rnacentral:rRNA from 1 species
CCUACGGGUGGCAGCAGUGAGGAAUAUUGGUCAAUGGACGAGAGUCUGAACCAGCCAAGCAGCGUGAAGGAUGACUGCCCUAUGGGUUGUAAACUUCUUUUGUAUGGGAACAAAGCAGGGUACGCAUACCCUCAUGUAUGUACCAGAUGAAUAAGGAUCGGCUAACUCCGUGCCAGCAGCCGCGGUAAUACGGAGGGGCCGAGCGUUAUCCGGAUUUAUUGGGCGUAAAGGGUGCGUAGGUGGGUUGUUAAGUCAGUAGUGAAAGUUUGCGGCUCAACCGUUAGAUUGCCGUUGAAACUGGCAGUCUUGAGUGCAGGAGAGGUGAGCGGAAUUCGUAGUGUAGCGGUGAAAUGCUUAGAUAUCAGGAAGAACUCCAGUUGCGAAGGCGGCAUACCGGACCGCAACUGACGCUGAGGCACGAAAGCGUGGGUAGCGAACAGGAUUAGAUACCCCAGUAGUC